AUUGAACGCUGGCGGCAUGCUUUACACAUGCAAGUCGAACGGUAACAGGCCGCAAGGUGCUGACGAGUGGCGAACGGGUGAGUAAUGCAUCGGAACGUGCCCAGUCGUGGGGGAUAACGCAGCGAAAGCUGCGCUAAUACCGCAUACGAUCUAUGGAUGAAAGCGGGGGACCGUAAGGCCUCGCGCGAUUGGAGCGGCCGAUGUCAGAUUAGGUAGUUGGUGGGGUAAAGGCUCACCAAGCCAACGAUCUGUAGCUGGUCCGAGAGGACGACCAGCCACACUGGGACUGAGACACGGCCCAGACUCCUACGGGAGGCAGCAGUGGGGAAUUUUGGACAAUGGGCGCAAGCCUGAUCCAGCAAUGCCGCGUGCAGGAAGAAGGCCUUCGGGUUGUAAACUGCUUUUGUACGGAACGAAAAGGCUCUGGAUAAUACCUGGGGCUCAUGACGGUACCGUAAGAAUAAGCACCGGCUAACUACGUGCCAGCCGCCGCUGUAAUAC
rnacentral:rRNA from 1 species